rnacentral:lncRNA from 1 species
GGGAAUAUGGUGGUUGUUGCCUUGGCAACAGGUGUUCGGGUCCCGCCUAUGUGAUGUCAGGGGUUUUGGAGGUCCUAAUACCAACAACUAGCAUCUCCAUUGAAGUACUUAUAUAUGCAACAACAAGACGUCUGUGGUUUCAAACCAGUCAUGAAGGGAGCUGAGGUGCCAGGAAGCUGACAAUUUUACACUCCCGAUGCUCCUGAGUCUACAAGCUAAGAGAGGGGUGAAUAACCUGUGUGUGUCAUUGCUGCUGUUGUCAUCCUUCACUGACACCAGACUCCAGCUUCUUCAGAUUCCAACAAGACUCCAGGAAUCUUCUGGAGACCAGAUUGGGAUAGCGAAGGAAAACAGAUGUGUGGACUGAGGUGAUAUCUGCUUCUCAGCCUCUCCACCCUAAAGAUGGACAGUUUUUGAUUACCUAGUAUAUAUCUUGUGAGCCAAUGUAGUGAAUCUUUGUUCAUAAUGUGUAGGUAUUCUAUUGGUUCAUUUCCUUUAGAGAACCCCAUACAAUGCAAAUAUUGAAUAAAAAAAAUAGCUCACUGGAA